CGAGUGAUUCAUGGCUAAGGAACUAGGCAAAAUAGCCUCGUAACUUCGGGAGAAGAGGCGCCCCGCGCGAGCGGGGCCGCAGUGAAAAGGCCCAGGCGACUGUUUAUCAAAAACACAGGACUCUGCGAAAUCGAAAGAUGAUGUAUAGGGUCUGACACCUGCCCGGUGCCGGAAGGUUAAGAGGAGAUGUUAUCUUCGGAGAAGCAUUGAAUUGAAGCCCCGGUAAACGGCGGCCGU
rnacentral:rRNA from 13 species